AGGUCGAGCCUCACUAGCCAGAUGAAGCUAGCUGACUGCUUAUAACGUUAGCUUUGGGCUAGAGGGUUAAGUAGUUGGUUAGCUAACUGAAGUUCAAUUUAAAUAAGCUAAUAUUAGAUAAUACGAGGUUCCUUAGGAAGAGGCUGGUUUAAAGCUCAUGUUACCCUAGCCCCUUUCAUUACAUUAGCUAGCUAAUACUUACUCACAAGGAUUCCUAAAUAAUUGCUAAGAAUGAUGAAAAUGACUAGUUUCUACUGGUCUUUGUUUUCAGGCUGGUUGUAUUGGUGUUAGCUUGGUAACUUUACCAAGCUAAUGCUAGAACGUUUCCAAUAGGAUCUCGCUAGCUCGUGCUUGGCUCUGCCCACUAUGACUCAUUUGUUCCCAUUGGAAACGACAUGUAGCGGUCUAACUUGGUUUGUAUUUGCGUAACCCUUAUACAAAUGUUAACUUUCAACUUCAAUGGGGGUGGGGACAUCCCUAUAGGAUUCCGAUUAACACGGACCCUGAAAGAAGGAAAAGAAGUGACGUCUGGUAAAAUUAAAAGGGAGUAAUAUCCGGCAUUAUUCUGUAUUAUACCAUCAAUAUUUGGUCUCUGUAAACAGAUAGUUUUUCCUGUGUGUAUUUCAUCAAACUUCCUCAAUACACACAAGUCCAUACAUUGUGCAAUCGCAUUGGGCCAAAUCACAAAUUCACCCCCUUCUGAAGAUGAGAUGCUGCAUGCUAAAUUGGUACCCUAAAAAUAAAUAUUAGUUAGGUAGCUACCUCGUCUCUCUACUUUUAGAAAGGAGCUAACUAUGACUCUUAAAUAUAAUCUACUCAACCCUAUACUGAGCGUAUUUCCGUUAGUUUGUAUAGUUUUAAUAUUAUUUACUUGUAACUUUCAGUUUUGUCAAGCUAGUGAAGUCAGACCUGAAAAAUGUCUUUGUUUGGGGUCCAGGGCUAGACCCUAAAGUCGUUUUGCCCGUUUGAUCCAGGCUGUCAACUCAGCUGGGGAAAACUUCUCUACAGGUAGACUCGUUCAGAAGCAGCAUGUCCGCAUCCACACCCACCUUCCCCUGGACAGAGGCGAUGGUUCCUUUCUGAUGAGGAAUUCUCAAUUGGCCAUGGAGGGGAGAGUGACCAAACUCAGCAUGCAUCCACAGAAAUGCACAAGAAGGACACGCUAGCUAAAGGUGCUAGCAAUAUAGUCUACUGCGGAAAAUUAUGUUCUGCCUCCUACGGAAGGUGAGCCUGUGUAUUUCUCAGUUGCCAGUGAUGCCUCAAACAAGGGAAAUAAAAAAAUGUUUCCAGCGUGCGUGAGAUAUUUCUGUGUCUGAUGGAGUGCAGUUCAAGUUACUUGACUUUUAUGAAGACAGUGAUGAAACUGCAAAUGGCAUACAUCAAGCUCUGAUGAACUGUCUGGAAAAUCAUGAACUUGAUAUUAGACACUUCACAGCCUAUGCAGCAGAUAAUGCCAAUGUCAACUGUGGAAUACACCACUCCGUUUACCAGUUAUUGAGCAGUGACAACAAUCGCAUUCUGAAAGCUAAUUGCCCAACUCGCAUAACUCAUAAUGCCUUUUGCCAUCCCAAUUGAAUAAGACUAUGAAUAUACACUGUUUAUUCAUUCCCAUAACACCAUACCCACACUGCCGUGUGACCGUGCACUGGCACGCCACCUUUUGUCCCUUAUUUGGUAGUGAGAAAGUUGGCAACCCUAAUUCAGCCUCAUUUACUGCCUUUAAAAAAAACAUAGCUGAUAUGGCUGAUUUGCUUAAACAAAUGUGGUUUUUACUGACAAUUGAGAUGUACAAACUAUGGCAUAAGGUGGGGGGAGUAGAUAAGAGGCAAUCAACCGUAAUUUCGAUUGACAUUAAUGAGCCAGCCUUGGACGGACAUAGUCAAUAUAAAUAUUUGUUCAGACUUCAGUGCCUUCCCCUCCAUU